CGCUGGCGGCGUGCUUAACACAUGCAAGUCGAACGGAAAGGCCCUGCUUUUGUGGGGUGCUCGAGUGGCGAACGGGUGAGUAACACGUGAGUAACCUGCCCUUGACUUUGGGAUAACUUCAGGAAACUGGGGCUAAUACCGGAUAGGAGCUCCUGCUGCAUGGUGGGGGUUGGAAAGUUUCGGCGGUUGGGGAUGGACUCGCGGCUUAUCAGCUUGUUGGUGGGGUAGUGGCUUACCAAGGCUUUGACGGGUAGCCGGCCUGAGAGGGUGACCGGCCACAUUGGGACUGAGAUACGGCCCAGACUCCUACGGGAGGCAGCAGUGGGGAAUAUUGCACAAUGGGCGGAAGCCUGAUGCAGCAACGCCGCGUGCGGGAUGACGGCCUUCGGGUUGUAAACCGCUUUCGCCUGUGACGAAGCGUGAGUGACGGUAAUGGGUAAAGAAGCACCGGCUAACUACGUGCCAGCAGCCGCGGUGAUACGUAGGGUGCGAGCGUUGUCCGGAUUUAUUGGGCGUAAAGGGCUCGUAGGUGGUUGAUCGCGUCGGAAGUGUAAUCUUGGGGCUUAACCCUGAGCGUGCUUUCGAUACGGGUUGACUUGAGGAAGGUAGGGGAGAAUGGAAUUCCUGGUGGAGCGGUGGAAUGCGCAGAUAUCAGGAGGAACACCAGUGGCGAAGGCGGUUCUCUGGGCCUUUCCUGACGCUGAGGAGCGAAAGCGUGGGGAGCGAACAGGCUUAGAUACCCUGGUAGUCCACGCUGUAAACGGUGGGUACUAGGUGUGGGGUCCAUUCCACGGGUUCCGUGCCGUAGCUAACGCUUUAAGUACCCCGCCUGGGGAGUACGGCCGCAAGGCUAAAACUCAAAGGAAUUGACGGGGCCCCGCACAAGCGGCGGAGCAUGCGGAUUAAUUCGAUGCAACGCGUAGAACCUUACCUGGGUUUGACAUGGAUCGGGAGUGCUCAGAGAUGGGUGUGCCUCUUUUGGGGUCGGUUCACAGGUGGUGCAUGGCUGUCGUCAGCUCGUGUCGUGAGAUGUUGGGUUAAGUCCCGCAACGAGCGCAACCCUUGUUCACUGUUGCCAGCACGUUAUGGUGGGGACUCAGUGGAGACCGCCGGGGUCAACUCGGAGGAAGGUGGGGAUGACGUCAAGUCAUCAUGCCCCUUAUGUCCAGGGCUUCACGCAUGCUACAAUGGCUGGUACAGAGAGUGGCGAGCCUGUGAGGGUGAGCGAAUCUCGGAAAGCCGGUCUCAGUUCGGAUUGGGGUCUGCAACUCGACCUCAUGAAGUCGGAGUCGCUAGUAAUCGCAGAUCAGCAACGCUGCGGUGAAUACGUUCCCGGGGCUUGUACACACCGCCCGUCAAGUCAUGAAAGUUGGUAACACCCGAAGCCGGUGGCCUAACCGAUGUGGGGGAGCCGUCGAAGGUGGGACUGGUGAUU
rnacentral:rRNA from 1 species